UCCCUGGUGGCUUAGACGGUAAAGCGUCUGCAUGCAAUGCGGGAGACCCAGGUUUGAUCCCUGGGUCGGGAA
rfam:TPA: Bos taurus chromosome 10, whole genome shotgun sequence.